UACAGAGGGUGCAAGCGUUGCUCGGAAUCAUUGGGCGUAAAGGGCAGGUAGGUGGUCUUAUUUGUCCGGGGUGAAAGCCUGGGGCUUAACCCCAGAAGGGCCCCGGAAACGGUGAGACUAGAGUACUGGAGAGGGUCGUGGAAUUCCCGGUGUAGCGGUGAAAUGCGUAGAGAUCGGGAGGAACACCAGAGGCGAAGGCGGCGACCUGGACAGUGACUGACACUCAGGGACGAAAGCUAGGGGAGCGAAUGGG
rnacentral:rRNA from 1 species